GCCCUGCUGGCGCAAUGGUAGCGCGUCAGACUUCUAUUAUAUUCUCCUGAUAUGAAAUCUGAAGGUUGCGGGUUCGACCCCCGCGUGGGGUU